GAAAUAGAACCUGAAACCCUGCACUUACAAGCUGUGGAAGCACAUUUCUUGUGUGACCGCGUACUUUUUGUAGAACGGGCCAACGAGUUACGUUAAGUAGCAAGGUUAAGCACUUAAGGUGUGGAGCCGUAGCGAAAGCGAGUUUUAACUGAGCGUUCAGUUACUUGACGUAGACCCGAAACCGGGCGACCUACCCAUGAGCAGGAUGAAGCGAAAGUAAAAUUUCGUGGAGGUCCGAACCCACGAGCGUUGAAAAGCUCGGGGAUGACUUGUGGGUAGCGGUGAAAUUCCAAUCGAGCCCGGAGAUAGCUGGUUCUCCCCGAAAUAGCUUUAGGGCUAGCCUCAAGGUGAGAGA
rnacentral:rRNA from 1 species